ACUUGUAUAUUAUAAUAAUUAUAUUUGACUUCCAAUCAAAAAAUCUAGAAUUAUUUCUAGUAUAAGUA
rnacentral:tRNA from 1 species